UACAGAGGGGGCGAGCGUUAUUCGGAAUUAUUGGGCGUAAAGGGCGCGUAGGCGGCCUUUCAAGUGACGGGUGAAAUCCCUCGGCUUAACCGAGGAACUGCCUGUCAGACUGGAAGGCUUGAGACCGGGAGAGGUGAGUGGAAUUCCCAGUGUAGCGGUGAAAUGCGUAGAUAUUGGGAGGAACACCAGUGGCGAAAGCAGCUCUCUGGGACGGUACUGACGCUGAGACGCGAAAGCGUGGGGAGCGAACAGG
rnacentral:rRNA from 1 species